rfam:Callipepla squamata strain Texas jcf7180005232551, whole genome shotgun sequence.
UAAUCGGCUUCAUUAGAAGCCAUUAUUAUGGUAAAACUCGGAGUA